AUGUAAUUACAAUUAACAUUUUUGGGACACCCAGUAUGAUUGUAAGGUAGAAUUGCGUAUAAAUAGAAAGUUCAAAGGUCAUCGUAUAAGUAGAAUAUAUUUUCCUUUUUCAAUAAAUUUAUCACUCAAACAGUACAAAUAUGACGUGGUAGCCAAAAACACGCCUGAAUGAGUCGUAAGAAUAUCCAAACGGCUCCAGCAAGAGCCAAGUACGAACAGGCAGUGAACACCAUACUUACAAAAUCGACCGAGAUCUGUUGAUGCUUCAUAUCGAUAAUUUAUUAUUUUCGAUUGAAUCUGUAAUCAACGAAAUAGUAUAAGACCAUCCGCAAUGUGAAUUCAAUUUAAACGUUACUUAUUCGGGGCCUAAGAGGCUAUUUAAGGUAUUUAAAUUACUAUUGAAAUUUUAUGGGGCUGAAAUAUUUCUCACGCAAGAAAUACUAAAAUUAAAAGUAAAUUAACCCUUAGCGCUCGAGUGGCGCCUCUAGGGCGACACAUGUAAUUGAAAGGCGAUUUUUUGAACGUACAAUUUCAAUUUUACUUAUAUCAGAAUACAGCUAAUUAUUAAUUGAAAUAAUAAUACAUUGAGUCGUGAAUGUUCGUGGAUGUUUCCUUUCCAAGUAGAGUUUUUGGUUUUACAGAAAUUUGUUCUAAAAAUGGGAUGGGUUUGAUUCUAUAGAAAAAUGCCUCGAGCGCAAAGGGUUAAUACUUUCGCUAAUUAAUGAUAUAUUUUUAUAAUUUCUCUUUAUUAAAUUUUUCUGUUAAGAUCAUCCUAUAUUUUUCACUGCGUAAUCAUAGCCCACGUAGAGAUGAGUUCAAUGACCAUAAAGCUUCACGGAUAGAGAAAAAACAUUUUGUCGUUUCAAUUGAGCCGAUUUCUAAUGACUUAAUAUUACUUGUCAACUACUUACGUUAAUAAAUGACUGUAUUUUAUCAUUUGAAAAAUAUUGACAAAUUUAUUUCAAGAAACAUAUAGCUUAUCGUGAUGUACUAUCGAUACUGUUACGUGAGAAAAAAUAAACUAAAGGGACACGAAUUUUAGCACGCUUUUUUAUUUUUAUUUUUAUUUUUUUUUAUAUUAAAAAAACGUCUGUCAAAUAAAUCGAAAAAGUAGAAGAAUUUCAGAGAAUAUUGUUAAGUGCUAAAAUGGGUCUAGUUCGAUGUGAUAUAUAAUAAAUCCUGAAUUAUAAACAAUAAAAUAAAUUGGUAUACGUAAUAACUGCUAUCACAAAUAUAUUUGUAAUUACUGAAAUAACAAUGAAUGAUCAA